CAGUAGCCGCGGGAAUACGUAGGGUGCGAGCGUUAAUCGGAAUUACUGGGCGUAAAGCGUGCGCAGGCGGUUGUGUAAGACAGGUGUGAAAUCCCCGGGCUUAACCUGGGAACUGCGCUUGUGACUGCACAGCUAGAGUAUGGCAGAGGGGGGUGGAAUUCCACGUGUAGCAGUGAAAUGCGCAGAGAUGUGGAGGAACACCGAUGGCGAAGGCAGCCCCCUGGGCCAAUACUGACGCUCAUGCACGAAAGCGUGGGGAGCAAACAGGAUUAGAUACCCCGGUAGUCCCUGUCUCUUAUAC
rnacentral:rRNA from 1 species